ACGCGAGACCUUACCUGGCCUUGACAUACAGAGAACUUUCCAGAGAUGGAUUGGUGCCUUCGGGAACUCUGAUACAGGUGCUGCAUGGCUGUCGUCAGCUCGUGUCGUGAGAUGUUGGGUUAAGUCCCGCAACGAGCGCAACCCUUUUCCUUAUUUGCCAGCACUUCGGGUGGGAACUUUAAGGAUACUGCCAGUGACAAACUGGAGGAAGGCGGGGACGACGUCAAGUCAUCAUGGCCCUUACGGCCAGGGCUACACACGUGCUACAAUGGUCGGUACAAAGGGUUGCUACACAGCGAUGUGAUGCUAAUCUCAAAAAGCCGAUCGUAGUCCGGAUUGGAGUCUGCAACUCGACUCCAUGAAGUCGGAAUCGC
rnacentral:rRNA from 1 species